ACCACAACAGGUGGAGCCUGCGGUUUAAUCGGACUCAACGCCGGGAAACUCACCAGAUAAGACAGCUGAAUGAUAGUCGGGCUGAAGACUCUACUUGACUAGCUGAGAGGAGGUGCAUGGCCGUCGUCAGUUCGUACUGUGAAGCAUCCUGUUAAGUCAGGCAACGAGCGAGACCCACGCCAACAGUUGCCAGCUCGUCCUCCGGGAUGGUGGGGACACUGUUGGGACCGCCUCUGCUAAAGAGGAGGAAGGAAUGGGCAACGGUAGGUCAGCAUGCCCCGAAUUAUCUGGGCUACACGCGGGCUACAAUGGGUGGGACAAUGGGUAUCGACACCGAAAGGUGAAGGCAAUCUCCUAAACCCAUCCGUAGUUCGGAUUGUGGGCUGCAACUCGCCCACAUGAAGCUGGAAUCUGUAGUAAUCGUGUCUCAAAAUGGCACGGUGAAUAUGUCCCUGCUCCUU
rnacentral:rRNA from 1 species